GGAGCGCGGGGCCGGCGCGUCCAGGGGGCUCGGUCUGCACACCCGGCUUCCUGAAUCGGCCCUUGGACCGGCGGUGUGCACGCUUCCGCCGUGUGGGUCCUGGUGCGCCGCCCCGCGGGUGGAUUAUUUCCCGCUGGGGACACUCGAGGCGCUGCCGACUCGGGGGGCUCUUGACCUUCCCGGUCACGAGCUGCACGAAGGGUUUGGACGGGGGCCCCUACCGCGAAGAGCGCUGCCACUCUUGAAAAGCCAGGAUGAGCCAUGAUCUCGAAGCAGCAAGAGUUGGAGGUCUUGGCUGUCAGGCUCCUGGGAGCUUCUGGUACCUCAGCCCUCACUCACCAAGGACUUCCCUCUCUUCCCAUGCUGCGUGGGAGAGUGGGAAGGGCAGUUCACUGUGAAAAAGCUUCAAGGACUUCCCAGUGUGAACGACAAUUCGACAAAUAAGUGUGCUUGGCCUUGCUAACAAUCAGUUGUGAGGCUGAAAACAUCCUUUUCCAAAUUAUGUCUUACAAAAUAAUCCAGCCAUGUUAGAGGAAAGGCUGAGUUAUCUACUUCCCCCUAUAGAAAAUAAUAUGACACAAUUGUUGUUAUAUGAAAGGUAAUAAAAAUAAUGCAGCGAAGCAGUGUAGGAGAAACAUAUUAUAGAGGUAUAUCAGUAAGCUAACUCUGUGAUUGUGGAAUCCAUCAGUUCUUUAAAGUUUGUGAUCUGUUUCUAUUUAUGCUCUUAUUCUAAAUAAAUAUUUACUUUCACCGUU